UACGUAGGGUGCGAGCGUUAAUCGGAAUUACUGGGCGUAAAGCGUGCGCAGGCGGCUACAUAAGACAGAUGUGAAAUCCCCGGGCUUAACCUGGGAACUGCGUUUGUGACUGUGUGGCUCGAGUGCGGCAGAGGGGGGUGGAAUUCCACGUGUAGCAGUGAAAUGCGUAGAGAUGUGGAGGAACACCGAUGGCGAAGGCAGCCCCCUGGGUCGACACUGACGCUCAUGCACUAAAGCGUGGGGAGCAAACAGGAUUAGAAA
rnacentral:rRNA from 1 species